UACGUAGGGGGGCAAGCGUUGUCCGGAUUUAUUGGGCGUAAAGAGCGUGUAGGCGGCCAGACAGGUCCGUUGUGAAAAACUCGAGGCUCAACCUCGAGACGCCGAUGGAAACCGUCUGGCUAGAGUCCGGAAGAGGAGAGUGGAAUUCCUGGUGUAGCGGUGAAAUGCGCAGAUAUCAGGAAGAACACCCGUGGCUAAGGCGGCUCUCUAGUACGGUACUGACGCUGAGACGCGAAAGCGUGGGGAGCGAACAGG
rnacentral:rRNA from 1 species